ACAGCAAUGCUGAGAGGAGAAUGAGAACCCAGGUAGUUCCCUUCAAGAAGGGUGACCUGCUCAGCCCCGAGGAAGCGAGGGGCUCCCUGGGGAAAGGGCUGGACAAGCUCCAGGCACAGGGAGCAGCUGGCAGGGUGAGGCUUCCAGGAUGAUACCAAAUGCUAGUAAGAGCACGGAGCAACCGGAUCGCUCACCAAACAAGGAGCUUGACUGCUUGUGUCUGUCUUAUGGAGGGCAGCUGUUAGGUGGCAGCAAGGGGGGCAGAAUAGCUAUUGUGGAAGACAGUUUAGUGGCUUCUUCCACAACUACAAGGACCUUCCCUUGCCACUUAACAACUGCCCUCCUUAGUACUGACUCAAGCAGUCAAAACACUCAUGUCCCCACAAGAGCCUAUCACAGCUUCACUCAUAAUUGCCCAAACUCUCAAAACCACCUAUGACAGGGGUGUUGACAACUAAGCCAGGCUGUGCUCACGCGGUGAAAUACCACCCAGAGAAAAAAGUAAGUGAGCUACCACGCCCAGAAUGACAUGGAGGAACCCAAAUGUAUCCUUUGGGCAGAGAAGCCUUUCUGAAAGGCCCAAACAAUGAAUGUUUACAGCUGCACAGUAUUCCGGAAGGGGACUUGGAAGACAGAGAAAAGACCCAUGGGGUUUGGAUGAAGCGGUGAGAAUAAAAGACACCGCAGCAAAGAAUUUGAAGGCAAAGAUGGUGCUGUGUGAUACAGCCUUGGUGGUCACCUGGCAUUCCUCACAACCUAUGAAAGCUACAAUUCCAAGGUGGGGCAAGGAUCCCUAAUGUGAACUCUGGCCUCCACGUAACAACAAUGUAUCAACAAACACACCACAAGAUCACAGAAUGGGAAUAAAGGUGUGGUUAUACCAGCUCA